AUUGAACGCUGGCGGCAUGCCUUGCACAUGCAAGUCGAACGGUAACGGGCCUUCGGGUGCCGACGAGUGGCGAACGGGUGAGUAAUACAUCGGAACGUGCCCGAUCGUGGGGGAUAACGAGGCGAAAGCUUUGCUAAUACCGCAUACGAUCUACGGAUGAAAGCAGAGGACCGCAAGGCCUUGCGCGGACGGAGCGGCCGAUGGCAGAUUAGGUAGUUGGUGGGAUAAAAGCUUACCAAGCCGACGAUCUGUAGCUGGUCUGAGAGGAUGAUCAGCCACACUGGGACUGAGACACGGCCCAGACUCCUACGGGAGGCAGCAGUGGGGAAUUUUGGACAAUGGGCGCAAGCCUGAUCCAGCCAUGCCGCGUGCAGGAUGAAGGCCUUCGGGUUGUAAACUGCUUUUGUACGGAACGAAAAGCCUUCUUUUAAUACAGGAGGGUCAUGACGGUACCGUAAGAAUAAGCACCGGCUAACUACGUG
rnacentral:rRNA from 1 species